rnacentral:lncRNA from 13 species
UGGAAUAGGGUUCUAUUUGGAUAUGGAACAGGGUUCUAUUUGGAUAUGGAACAGGGUUCUAUUUGGAUAUGGAACAGGGUUCUAUUUGGAUAUGGAAUAGGGUUCUAUUUGCAUAUGGAAUAGUGUUCUAUUUGGAUAUGGAACAGGGUUCCAUUUGGAUAUGGAACAGGGUUCUAUUUGGAUAUGGAACAGGGUUCUAUUUGGAUAUGGAAUAGGGUUCUAUUUGGAUAUGGAAUAGGGUUCUAUUUGGAUAUGGAAUAGGGUUCUAUUUGGNNNNNNNNNNGGCAGAGCACAUCAGCCUGGCUGUCUAUCACAACAAACGGAACCUGGAAGGGAACCAGGGGCUUGUCUGACUGAAUGGCAACCUAUUCCCUCGAUAGUGUAUGGUCCCUGGUCAAAAGUAGUGGGGUAUAAUAUGGAAUAGGGUUCUAUUUGGAUAUGGAACAGGGUUCUAUUUGGAUAUGGAACAGGGUUCUAUUUGGAUAUGGAAUAGGGUUCUAUUUGCAUAUGGAACAGGGUUCUAUUUGGAUAUGGAACAGGGUUCUAUUUGGAUAUGGAACAGGGUUAUAUUUGGAUAUGGAACAGGGUUCUAUUUGGAUAUGGAACAGGGUUCUAUUUGGAUAUGGAAUAGGGUUCUAUUUGCAUAUGGAAUAGGGUUCUAUUUGCAUAUGGAAUAGGGUUCUAUUUGGAUAUGGAACAGGGUUCUAUUUGGAUAUGGAACAGGGUUCUAUUUGGAUAUGGAAUAGGGUUCUAUUUGGAUAUGGAAUAGGGUUCUAUUUGGAUAUGGAACAGGGUUCUAUUUGGAUAUGGAACAGGGUUCUAUUUGGAUAUGGAACAGGGUUCUAUUUGGAUAUGGAAUAGGGUUCUAUUUGCAUAUGGAAUAGUGUUCUAUUUGGAUAUGGAACAGGGUUCCAUUUGGAUAUGGAACAGGGUUCUAUUUGGAUAUGGAACAGGGUUCUAUUUGGAUAUGGAAUAGGGUUCUAUUUGGAUAUGGAAUAGGGUUCUAUUUGGAUAUGGAAUAGGGUUCUAUUUGGGAUGCACACUGAAACAAGUGUUCCUUUGCAAAUGGGACCUUAUUCCCUAUAUAGUGUACCACUGGUCUGUUGCUGUCACAUACAGGAAACUACUGCCUUGUCCAUGGUCUGUCACAUACAGGAAACUACUGCCUUGGUCUGUCACAUACAGGAAACUACUGCCUUGUCCCUGGUCUGUCACAUACAGGAAACUACUGCCUUGUCCCUGGUCUGACACAUACAGGAAACUACUGCCUUGUCCCUGGUCUGACACAUACAGGAAACUACUGCCUUGGUCUGUCACAUACAGGAAACUACUGCCUUGUCCCUGGUCUGUCACAUACAGGAAACUGGUGGAAACUAGGAAACUUUCCCAUAGGUUAAGAGAUAUUCUCUGGACGCCUCAUAGGAAAAUGAUCAUCACCACAAUGGUCUUUCUAAUAUUAAGCCUUAGUCAUAACAUUAUUCAACCGUUAGAAACCAUUACACUGUUAGUACACACACACACACACACACACAUAGUAAUCCAUUUAAAGCAUUGA